rnacentral:rRNA from 1 species
GAGUUUGAUCCUGGCUCAGGAUGAACGCUGGCGGCGUGCUUAACACAUGCAAGUCGAACGAAGCACUGGAGAACGAAUCUUCGGAGGAAGUCUCCUUUGACUGAGUGGCGGACGGGUGAGUAACGCGUGGGUAACCUGCCUCACACAGGGGGAUAACAGUUGGAAACGACCGCUAAUACCGCAUAAGCCGGAAGGAUCGCAUGAUCCGGCCGGAAAAGAUUUAUCGGUGUGAGAUGGACCCGCGUCUGAUUAGCCAGUUGGCAGGGUAACGGCCUACCAAAGCGACGAUCAGUAGCCGGCCUGAGAGGGUGAACGGCCACAUUGGGACUGAGACACGGCCCAAACUCCUACGGGAGGCAGCAGUGGGGAAUAUAGCACAAUGGGGGAAACCCUGAUGCAGCAACGCCGCGUGAAAGGAGAAGUAUUUCGGUAUGUAAAGCUCUAUCAGCAGGGAAGAAAA